GACGAACGCUGGCGGCGUGCCUAAUACAUGCAAGUCGAACGGUCUUUUCUAUGGAAGCUUGCUUCCACUGAGAAGAUAGUGGCGAACGGGUGAGUAACACGUGGGUAACCUGCCCAUAAGAGGGGGAUAACAUCCGGAAACGGGUGCUAAUACCGCAUAGGCUUCUUGAUCGCAUGAUCGAGAAAGGAAAGACGGCCUUUGUGCUGUCGCUUAUGGAUGGACCCGCGGCGUAUUAGUUAGUUGGUGAGGUAACGGCUCACCAAGACGAUGAUACGUAGCGGACCUGAGAGGGUGAUCGGCCACAUUGGGACUGAGACACGGCCCAAACUCCUACGGGAGGCAGCAGUAGGGAAUCUUCCGCAAUGGACGAAAGUCCGACGGAGCAACGCCGCGUGAGUGAAGAAGGUUUUCGGAUCGUAAAACUCUGUUGUCAGAGAAGAACAAGUCGGAGAGUAACUGCUCCGGCCUUGACGGUAUCUGACCAGAAAGCCACGGCUAACUACGUGCCAGCCGCCGCAGUAAUAC
rnacentral:rRNA from 1 species